AGUAUCGUAGCCAAUGAGGUUAAUCCGAGGUGUGAUUAUUGCUAAUUGAAAACUUUUCUCUUCCCUGU
rnacentral:snRNA from 1 species